AUUGACCUCGGAUCAGGUAGGGAUACCCGCUGAACUUAAGCAUAUCAAUAAACGGAGGAAAAGAAACCAACAGGGAUUGCCUCAGUAACGGCGAGUGAAGCGGCAACAGCUCAAAUUUGAAAUCUGGCCCCGUCGGGGUCCGAGUUGUAAUUUGUAGAGAGUGUUUCGGGUGAGACCACGGUCUAAGUUCAUUGGAACAUGGCGUCAUAGAGGGUGAGAAUCCCGUAUGUGACUGUGGCUCGAGCCCAUGUGAAGCCUCUUCGACGAGUCGAGUUGUUUGGGAAUGCAGCUCAAAAUGGGUGGUAAAUUUCAUCUAAAGCUAAAUACUGGCUGGAGACCGAUAGCGCACAAGUAGAGUGAUCGAAAGAUGAAAAGCACUUUGGAAAGAGAGUCAAACAGUACGUGAAAUUGUUGAAAGGGAAGCGCUUGCAACCAGACCUGUCCGUAGGUGAUCAGCCGCUGUUCUCAGCGGUGCACUCGCUCUGCGAUCAGGCCAGCAUCGGUUUCGGCGGUUGGAUAAAGGCCUUGGGAAUGUAGCUCCUUUCGGGGAGUCUUAUAGCCCUCGGUGCAAUGCGGCCAGCCGGGACCGAGGACCGCGCUUCGGCUAGGAUGCUGGCGUAAUGGUUGUAAGCGACCCGUCUUGAAACACGGACCAAGGAGUCUAACAUCUAUGCGAGUGUUUGGGUGUUAAACCCAUGCGCGGAAUGAAAGUGAACGGAGGUGAGAACCCUGUAGGGCGCAUCAUCGACCGAUCCAGAUGUCUUCGGAUGGAUUUGAGUAUGAGCAUAGCUGUUGGGACCCGAAAGAUGGUGAACUAUGCCUGAAUAGGGUGAAGCCAGAGGAAACUCUGGUGGAGGCUCGCAGCGGUCCGAACGUGCAAAUCGAUCGUCAAAUUUGGGUAUA
rnacentral:rRNA from 1 species